rnacentral:rRNA from 1 species
AUUGAACGCUGGCGGCAGGCCUAACACAUGCAAGUCGAACGGUAACAGGAAGAAGCUUGCUUCUUUGCUGACGAGUGGCGGACGGGUGAGUAAUGUCUGGGAAACUGCCUGAUGGAGGGUGAUAACUACUGGAAACGGUAGCUAAUACCGCAUAACGUCGCAAGACCAAAGAGGGGGACCUUCGGGCCUCUUGCCAUCGGAUGCGCCCAGAUGGGAUUAGCUAGUAGGUGGGGUAACGGCUCAACUAGGCGGCGAUCCCUAGGUGGUCUGAGAGGAUGACCAGCCACACUGGAAGUGAGACACGGUCCAGACUCCUACGGGAGGCAGCAGUGGGGAAUAUUGCACAAUGGGCGCAAGCCUGAUGCAGCCAUGCCGCGUGUAUGAAGAAGGCCUUCGGGUUGUAAAGUACUUUCAGCGGGGAGGAAGGGAGUAAAGUUAAUACCUUUGCUCAUUGACGUUACCCGCAGAAGAAGCACCGGCUAACUCCGUG